AAUUUACCAGCCAGCGCUGGUGCAUUCGACCUCUGCGCAACGAGAUACAAUUGGUGAGCGCCGCUCUUGUUGGGCUCUGGCCAGCUCUUCGGGCAGCCGGGGGUGUCUGUCGGGAGCCCCCCGGCCGGUUCCCGGGAGGGAUGCACGGGAGGAGUCCCGGGGUCCCGGGGGACUCCUCGGCCGCUCUCCGUGGUGCUGCAGCCGCCGCCCGCGGUGCCUCCUGCGGGAGGGCAGGAUCCCCUUCCCCGGGAGCACGGCCGGCCGUGCCGCUAACUCCUCCCUUCGGAUGCAAGGGCUGCACCGCCACAAGCCAUCCUCUCGCCGCCCCCCUCCUUCUCCUUUCUCCCGUUUCGACAGAGCGAGCGGGCUUGCUCUGCCUGCGCGGCGGCGGCUGCCCACCGCGGACCCCGUGGGCUUGGGGCGGGUGCUUUAAUUUUGGCAGGACCUGCCCGCCGCCCUUCCCGGAUAAACUUGGGCCGGCGCCCCCCGGCACCGCGUUUUGGGGCUGGUGGGCUCCCGGCUGCCUGCGGGGAUGCCCAGCAUCCAAUAAUGCAAUGGCUGGAAGACCACAACGUGUCAGAUUAACUGGGUGGACACAUUGGAUAUUAGCAACAAUUCUGCUGCUGUGGAGUUACCAGAUCAGUGGACAAGCAAAUACACCAUUCUGGAAUGCAUAAUCAUUUCAAAUGUUUGCUGGGCUUUGGGAGAAAAGGUGAUCACGAUGUAGAAGAAAGAAUAUACUGAGGAUUAAAAAAGCCUGCUUGCCAAUCCACUGUUUGCUUUUACUGAAUAAACAACUUUUCAUGAUUUUUAGAAAAAUAUUU
rnacentral:lncRNA from 1 species